AUUGAACGCUGGCGGCAGGCUUAACACAUGCAAGUCGAACGAGUGGCGGACGGGUGAGUAAUGUCUGGGAAACUGCCUGAUGGAGGGGGAUAACUACUGGAAACGGUAGCUAAUACCGCAUACCAUCGGAUGUGCCCAGAUGGGAUUAGCUAGUAGGUGGGGUAACGGCUCACCUAGGCGACGAUCCCUAGCUGGUCUGAGAGGAUGACCAGCGACACGGGAACUGAGACCCGUGCAAGACUCCUACGUGAGGCAGCAGUGGGGAAUAUUGCACAAUGGGCGCAAGCCUGAUGCAGCCAUGCCGCGUGUAUGAAGAAGGCUUUAGGGUUGGAAAGUACUUUCAGCGAGGAGGCGUUACUCGCAGAAGAAGCACCGGCUAACUCCGUGCCAGCAGCCGCGGUAAUUC
rnacentral:rRNA from 1 species